rnacentral:rRNA from 1 species
GAGUUUGAUCCUGGCUCAGGACGAACGCUGGCGGCGUGCCUAAUACAUGCAAGUCGAACGCUUCUUUUUCCACCGGAGCUUGCUCCACCGGAAAAAGAGGAGUGGCGAACGGGUGAGUAACACGUGGGUAACCUGCCCAUCAGAAGGGGAUAACACUUGGAAACAGGUGCUAAUACCGUAUAACAAUCGAAACCGCAUGGUUUUGAUUUGAAAGGCGCUUUCGGGUGUCGCUGAUGGAUGGACCCGCGGUGCAUUAGCUAGUUGGUGAGGUAACGGCUCACCAAGGCGACGAUGCAUAGCCGACCUGAGAGGGUGAUCGGCCACAUUGGGACUGAGACACGGCCCAAACUCCUACGGGAGGCAGCAGUAGGGAAUCUUCGGCAAUGGACGAAAGUCUGACCGAGCAACGCCGCGUGAGUGAAGAAGGUUUUCGGAUCGUAAAACUCUGUUGUUAGAGAAGAACAAGGAUGAGAGUAACUGUUCAUCCCUUGACGGUAUCUAACCAGAAAGCCACGGCUAACUACGUGCCAGCAGCCGCGGUAAUACGUAGGUGGCAAGCGUUGUCCGGAUUUAUUGGGCGUAAAGCGAG